AGAGUAAAAUUAAUGGGAAAUAGAGGUGUUCAGAGACUUAACAUGUCUCUGGAGUGUUCGUUUUUUCUUUUUUGUAUUUUUAACAGUAUAAGCACUUGUAAGUAGUAAAAAUAAUUAUGGUGGCUGGAUUUUGACACUUGGAGAGGAAAACUUACAAGCAAUGUCUAGUAACAAGCAGCUAGUAACUAAGUAUAUGCUGAGACAUUGGAAAUAUUGAAGAGCUUGGAAACAAUUGCAAUUUAAAAUCCUAGGUUCAGAAUCGGGAAGACUUUUUUUUUUUUUUAAUUUGAGAUAUCCCUUUAAGAGUCAUCUGGUGCAAUUCAUAGCCUGAUUCAUGCUGCUGGCGGCCUCUGAUUUCAGUAAUAAAUGCAGAAAUUUAUAGGGGACUGUAAAAUGUGGACAGGUUUUUGCUUUUCUAAACUGAGGUUUAAACUAGCAAACUUCUGAAGGUUUAAGAAGCCACAGAGCUGAGCAAUGGGGAUCUGGUUUCUUUUCCGGUCAGAGCAAAUAAACACACAAACACAUAUUUAACUCACAGAGUGUUGGAAGAGAGAAACCAGUGUUCUUUUUAAAGAAGGAAAACAAAAACUCAACCUUGUGGGCAACAGGAGGAAAGUCACACUGGCCGGCAGGCAGCACCCUGCGUUGGCAGAGGAGAAAUCUGAGCUCCAGCGGCACCGGCGGCAUUUGCACAGAGCCACAGCCUCCCGUUUCAAGUUGCAAGUCUCUGGAGUCCCAGGCAAGGCCCCAGCCUGGCUCCCUUCUCAGAGCCCCGAGAACUGAUGAGGAGCCCCUGCACCAACCACAGGACACGCAGAAAAGUCUGAACCUGGCCGUGAAUUGAGAGUGAGGAAUUGAGGGAGAGGAAGACAGCAAAGACAACUCCCAGAAUUCUGACUCAAGGUUUACUUAUCAACUCAAAUUUUGACAAGGAAAGGAGGGUCCUGCCUCUGGCGGCUCAGGAUGGCUCCCCAAUCCUGCCUGCGCUCUGGGAGCCCCACCUCUCUCUCCUGGACCCUCUGCUCUGAUGUCAGCCCACGCGUCCUCCAGCGCAUGGAAAAAUAUCGCAGUCUUUCCCAUCUAAAACCAAAAUGCUUCCACACUAUCUGUCCCUCUCCACUCAGCCUCCAUUCCCCUUUUCAUUUUCUUUCCUAGUCAAGCUUCCAGAAGGAAAAUCCCCUGAGUAUUCAUGCUUCUCUCCUGCGGGGACUUCCUACCCUCUGUUGUCUGGCUUUUGUUCCCACUGUUCAAUAAACCACUGCUGGAUAGAGUCA